rnacentral:tRNA from 1 species
GUCCCCGUCGUCUAGCGGCCAAGGACGCCGGAUGCUCAAUCCGGUAACGGAGAUUCGAAUCCUCCCGGGGACACCA